AUAGCUGUUUAGUUUAUUGGGACAUUAGUGUGCCAUGGGUCAUACAAAAAACUGAUGCUACGAUCGUUACCCACUUGCCAUGGCUCCUACCCAAGCCCAGUCCAAAUAUUUUACUCCGGCUUCAAAUCAGGCAUAGUCUAAAAAAUUUUAGUAAAAGAGAAAUACUUUGUGCACCGUGGGCGGUGCGGCACCACACGUACCAUUCGUUUGUGAUGAUUGUCCCACAAAUAGGGUCGGAAGAAAAAAAAUUUUUUUUUUUCAGAUGCCACACUCCGGCUCUGCACAUGUGCUAAUCACCAUCGGUGGUGCGCACCGCCCGCGGUGCACAAAGCAUUUCUCUUUAGUAAAAUUUCUCAAUCAGGAUUGAGACUAACCCAAAACAAGCUGACCCAAAUUAGUCAGUCUGGGCAUUUCAUCUCGAUGGCUCUGGAGACAAGCCGGGCGGC
rnacentral:lncRNA from 1 species